ensembl:lncRNA
AUGCUUCUGCUUAAACUAAAUUUGAAUUUUUUUUGUUCCUCUAGAAGAAGCUCAAAGCUAAAAAGGUCUUCACUGAAAACAUUUAGAUGGUCGACACUAACAACUACUGAACUUUGCCCCAGUAAGUGUCCUCUUAAAUGGAGAGAGAGAGGGGGGAGAGAGACACAGAGCAGUGGUGAGUCAGAGAGGACAGAAGAAGACCACUGGAACAAGGAUCUCCCACUCAAAUCCGGUGCCUUAGUGCCACCAGGCGUCGCGGGGACUCGGGACAUCGAGGGGGGGGGGGGGGGGGGGGGAAGGAGGGGGGGGGGGGGGGAGCGCCCCCCCCCCCCGCCGGGGGGGGGACAUCGGCCGCGCCGGGGCCUCUGCUCUCCUCGGGCCCCCUGGACAAGUGGCACCACCAGGCGGACUCCGUCCUCACGGCGGCCCGGCUCGCUCGCAGAGGAUGGACGGAGGAGGGGACGAAGAUGGCAUGGGGGCCGGACCCCUCACGUCAACCUGCCGCCUCCGGGUCAGAUGGGAAUCGGGCCUCGGAACGUGGCGCCGUUGGCCCGAAGGAACCCGGGGGCGGACGGGUUCGGGACGCGGAGACGGAAGCCUCGUUCUCGGCGGACAGACGCGCCGAGGGACAGACGGGCCUCCGCGUCGUGGUGUCCGUCCGCCGCGCCGCAUGCAGACAGCCGAGGAGGUUCAAGGCGCCGAGACUACCGGUCAUCGCUGAGAUGUAGACCGCCGCCGCCGUCUCCUCCAGAGGGGACACAAAUGUCUUCCUUAUGAUAAGAGUACUAGAAUCUGUAGAACUUAUUUAAACUGACUUUUAUGUAAAGCGACCUCACAAAUAUAACCGCGUGCUUGUGUGUUCCUGUGAAAACUAAACCAUGUGUAUUUACUACAGUUAAAUGUUACCUUCAUGUCAGGUAAAUAAAUAUUACAUUUGGUCUCAACUGUUCUCAAAGUUAAUGAGUAACUCCUUUGAGGCUGUAUUUUCCGACUGGUCUUAGUGGAUCCACGUAUCAAGUCCAUGUUGACCCGCUGCUGGCAGAGAUCACAGAAGUCAAAAACGAGUCAACUCCAGCUCUUCCUCGCUGAGCCGUCCAUCUCGCGCCGGCGUUCCCCACAAAUAUGUUUCAGGAUCAGGAAUCAGGAAUCAGUCCCCCCCCCCCUGGAAGGCGAACGUACACCGUGUUGU